AUGACCUUGUUUCUGUUUAAUAAUCCUAAAAAAGUUACAUUUUUUUAAAAGAUCACUUGGAGAGAAGGUUCGUUGAUGUGAUACGUUCUCCAUGAUUUGGUUAAGUUUAUAAAUUUAUGAAAGUAUCUUAGAAGAGGCUCCAAUCUAAAAAUUUAGAAUAAUGGUUAGACCAAUUUUAGAUUCUAUUAAUGUGAAUUUGACCAAAAUGUUGAAAAUAGUUCAUUAAAGUUGUAGAUUUGGGAAAUGUCAGAAUUCGAUAUCAAUUUUAACGAAGAAAAAUGAUUUUCUGAGAUAUGGCUAAUGCACUAUCAAUUGGUAAUUUAUUUCUGAAUAAUUUGAAAGUUAUUUCAGUACUUUAUAUGUAUUAACAGUGAAGAUAUUUGGACUUAAAUUUGUAGAAGUAGUGGUGAAAGGUAUAGAAAGUGUACGGACAGUGUUCGCAUAAAGUGGCUAUAACAAUUUAUUGGGAGUAUCCUCAAAUAUGCAAAAUAUAUGAAAAGAAUCUAUAAAGUUCAAUGAAUUUAAUUCUUUAAUUCAAUUUUACUCAAAUAAGAGAAUAAGAUCACCAUUUAGGCAUAUAUUUCCAAAUUUUAGACAAAAAAAUACCAUUUUGAUUAAAUGUCAUAAUUUGCAAAAUUAUUUCAUUGGCUCAUUUAAAUUUCCAAAGCAUGAAUUAUUAAUUUGUUUAAAUAUGAUUGGCUGUAAAAAGGACGCCAAGCUUAAAAAAUUGAAUUCAAGGGAGAAGGUUCUAGAUUUCAAAGGGAAGAGACGCUUUUUAAAGCUAUUCCCAAAAGAUUUGGUUUAAAAAUAGAAAAUUCGGAAAAUGCAGUCGAAAAACUGAUCACAAAA
rnacentral:lncRNA from 1 species